rnacentral:lncRNA from 1 species
UAGGGUAUUCUUAUGGCGUAUAGGGGUGCCACUAUGAUGUUCCAAGAAAAAAAAUUAUGAAAAGAAUGUUUUGUAUUCAUGCAUAUUAUUAGAACUUUAUGCAUAUGUGAUAUGCUUGAGAUGCUUUGUUAUAAUCAUAGUAUAUGAUUAUGAUUUCAUAUCUUAGAGAUAUAAAUAGAUGUCAUGAUUAGUUGCUAUGUUUAUAUACAAUUAUAAUAGUGCAUUAUUAUGAUUGAUUGAAU